UUAGUCCACCUCAAUGCUGGAUGGUUUAUGACUCAUACUUGCCAAGCAUACAUCAAAAUGGACUUAAAUUGAAUGAAAUAUUCAAUAUUAUCCUAGUGCUUGAAAGAAGAAAGCCCCUUCCCGCAUUCCUGGAAAUUGAAAAUACAAU
rnacentral:snoRNA from 1 species